rnacentral:rRNA from 1 species
CCUACGGGUGGCAGCAGUGAGGAAUAUUGGUCAAUGGGAGGAAUCCUGAACCAGCCAUGCCGCGUGCAGGACGACGGCUCUACGAGUUGUAAACUGCUUUUGUACCGGGGUAAAAUGCUCUACGAGUAGGGUUUUGAAAGUACGGUACGAAUAAGGAUCGGCUAACUCCGUGCCAGCAGCCGCGGUAAUACGGAGGAUCCGAGCGUUAUCCGGAUUUAUUGGGUUUAAAGGGUGCGUAGGUUGUUUUAUAAGUUAGCGGUUAAAUACCGAUGCUCAACAUCGGGGCUGCCGCUGAUACUGUAGGACUAGAGAUCGGAUGCAGCAGGCGGAAUGUGUAGUGUAGCGGUGAAAUGCAUAGAUAUUACACAGAACACCGAUUGCGAAGGCAGCUUGCUAGGCCGGAUCUGACACUGAUGCACGAAAGCGUGGGGAUCGAACAGGAUUAGAUACCCCAGUAGUC